rnacentral:rRNA from 1 species
UACAGAGACUGCGAGCGUUAUUCGGAUUCACUGGGCGUAAAGGGUGCGCAGGCGGCCAAGUGUGUGAGGCGUGAAAGCCCGGGGCUUAACCCCGGAAUUGCACCUCAAACUACAUGGCUAGAGCAUUGGAGAGGGUAGCAGAAUUCACGGUGUAGCAGUGAAAUGCGUAGAUAUCGUGAGGAAUACCAGAGGCGAAGGCGGCUACCUGGACAAUUGCUGACGCUCAGGCACGAAAGCGUGGGUAGCAAACAGG